rnacentral:rRNA from 1 species
UACGGGGGGAGCAAGCGUUGUUCGGAUUUACUGGGCGUAAAGGGCGCGUAGGCGGUCAGCACAAGUCAGUUGUGAAAUCUCCGGGCUUAACUCGGAAAGGUCAACUGAUACUGUGCGACUAGAGUGCGGAAGGGGCAACUGGAAUUCUCGGUGUAGCGGUGAAAUGCGUAGAUAUCGAGAGGAACACCUGCGGCGAAGGCGGCUCACUGGACCGGUACUGACGCUGAGGCUCGAAAGCGUGGGGAUCAAACAGG